AGUGAACGCCGGCGGUAGGCCUAAUACAUGCAAGUCGAACGGCAGCACAGGAGAGCUUGCUCUCUGGGUGGCGAGUGGCGGACGGGUGAGGAAUACAUCGGAAUCUACGCUGUCGUGGGGGAUAACGUAGGGAAACUUACGCUAAUACCGCAUACGACCUACGGGUGAAAGCAGGGGACCUUCGGGCCUUGCGCGAUUGAGUGAGCCGAUGUCGGAUUAGCUAGUUGGCGGGGUAAAGGCCCACCAAGGCGACGAUCCGUAGCUGGUCUGAGAGGAUGAUCAGCCACACUGGAACUGAGACACGGUCCAGACUCCUACGGGAGGCAGCAGUGGGGAAUAUUGGACAAUGGGCGCAAGCCUGAUCCAGCCAUACCGCGUGGGUGAAGAAGGCCUUCGGGUUGUAAAGCCCUUUUGUUGGGAAAGAAAUCCAGCUGGCUAAUACCCGGUUGGGAUGACGGUACCCAAAGAAUAAGCACCGGCUAACUUCGUGCCAGCCGCCGCAGUAA
rnacentral:rRNA from 1 species